GUAGGGAAUAUUGCACAAUGGAGGAAACUCUGAUGUAGCGACGCCGCGUGAGUGAUGAAGGCCUUCGGGUCGUAAAACUCUGUGAUAAGGGAAGAUGAUGACGGUACCUUAUCAGAAAAGACCGGCUAACUUCGUGCCAGCAGCCGCGGUAAUACGAGGGGUCUAAGCGUUGUUCGGAAUCACUGGGCGUAAAGCGGGUGUAGGUGGCUAUGCAAGUUGGAUGUGACAGCCCCGGGCUCAACACGGGAAGUGCAUCCAAAACUACGUAGCUUGAGUGCGGGAGAGAAAGGCAGAAUUCCUGGUGUAGUGGUGAAAUACGUAGAUAUCAGGAGGAACUCCGGUGGCGAAGGCGGCCUUUUGGCCCAGCACUGACACUCAGACCCGAAAGCGUGGGUAGCAAACAGGAUUAGAUACCCUGGUAGUCC
rnacentral:rRNA from 1 species